rnacentral:rRNA from 1 species
UGGGGGAUUAGUGGCGAACGGGUGAGUAACACGUGAGUAACCUGCCCUUGACUCUGGGAUAAGCCUGGGAAACUGGGUCUAAUACCGGAUACGACCAUCUGACGCAUGUCAUGGUGGUGGAAAGCUUUUGUGGUUUUGGAUGGACUCGCGGCCUAUCAGCUUGUUGGUGGGGUAAUGGCCUACCAAGGCGACGACGGGUAGCCGGCCUGAGAGGGUGACCGGCCACACUGGGACUGAGACACGGCCCAGACUCCUACGGGAGGCAGCAGUGGGGAAUAUUGCACAAUGGGCGCAAGCCUGAUGCAGCGACGCCGCGUGAGGGAUGACGGCCUUCGGGUUGUAAACCUCUUUCAGUAGGGAAGAAGCGAAAGUGACGGUACCUGCAGAAGAAGCGCCGGCUAACUACGUGCCAGCAGCCGCGGUAAUACGUAGGGCGCAAGCGUUAUCCGGAAUUAUUGGGCGUAAAGAGCUCGUAGGCGGUUUGUCGCGUCUGCUGUGAAAGACCGGGGCUCAACUCCGGUUCUGCAGUGGGUACGGGCAGACUAGAGUGCAGUAGGGGAGACUGGAAUUCCUGGUGUAGCGGUGAAAUGCGCAGAUAUCAGGAGGAACACCGAUGGCGAAGGCAGGUCUCUGGGCUGUAACUGACGCUGAGGAGCGAAAGCAUGGGGAGCGAACAGGAUUAGAUACCCUGGUAGUCCAUGCCGUAAACGUUGGGCACUAGGUGUGGGGGACAUUCCACGUUUUCCGCGCCGUAGCUAACGCAUUAAGUGCCCCGCCUGGGGAGUACGGCCGCAAGGCUAAAACUCAAAGGAAUUGACGGGGGCCCGCACAAGCGGCGGAGCAUGCGGAUUAAUUCGAUGCAACGCGAAGAACCUUACCAAGGCUUGACAUGAACCGGAAAGACCUGGAAACAGGUGCCCCGCUUGCGGUCGGUUUACAGGUGGUGCAUGGUUGUCGUCAGCUCGUGUCGUGAGAUGUUGGGUUAAGUCCCGCAACGAGCGCAACCCUCGUUCUAUGUUGCCAGCGCGUUAUGGCGGGGACUCAUAGGAGACUGCCGGGGUCAACUCGGAGGAAGGUGGGGACGACGUCAAAUCAUCAUGCCCCUUAUGUCUUGGGCUUCACGCAUGCUACAAUGGCCGGUACAAAGGGUUGCGAUACUGUGAGGUGGAGCUAAUCCCAAAAAGCCGGUCUCAGUUCGGAUUGGGGUCUGCAACUCGACCCCAUGAAGUCGGAGUCGCUAGUAAUCGCAGAUCAGCAACGCUGCGGUGAAUACGUUCCCGGGCCUUGUACACACCGCCCGUCAAGUCACGAAAGUUGG